GAGGCAGGGGACAGGGUGGGGCUAGCAUUACACCUGGCUACGCUUAACCCUUCGUCACCUCCGGCCUUCAGACCUCACCCUCCAGAGCUUUCUCCCCUGGGAGAAGCAGUGAGCUUUCCCCUCGGCUGUCCCACGGCAGGGACCUCUGUCUCCCUUCCCCGCCCUCCCCGGGCAGGGGGUGUUAGGAGUCCUGUCCCCCCCCAGCCCAGGGAGUAGGUGUGUGCUUGUUGGGGCUGGGCUGCCCUCUGAUCCCGGGGCGGGGGGAGAGAACAGGAUCGAGGAGUGGCUACAAAAGUGUAGAGGAGACCACAUGGUGAGCAGCGAAUGCAGGAGACUGGAUUCUGGGAAGUUCAAGUGAAGAGUUGCUUCACCUGGAAGCUCAGUCUGUGCUGUCUCUCUCUCUCCUCGGAGACAGAGCUCCCUGUGUAAGGAACUCGCUCCGCAUUGGCAUCUUGGGCCAGUGACUCUCUGGAAUGAACAGUUGAUGUGUAUUGGAAGCAGCAACUUCACUGAAACAGGUGGGAGGUGACGAAAUUCACAAACAGACUCUGAUAGAUGAGCUGAACGGGCCAAAAUGCAGCAGAUGGAGUUCAACGUGGAUUGAUCGAGUCACUGAGCACUCCCUGCACAGUGCGAUCCCAGGAUGAAGGAGCUGUGUCGAGUGUGCGCCUCGGAGCUGAGGGGGACGCGGAGGAGGUGGAUUUUUGGGUCGGGCU